AAAAAGCAUUUGGUUACUUAUUUUUGUUACUGACCGUAAAUCCCAUUUCACGAUUCAAGUAGGAAUUACUGGAUUGAUUUAAGCAUGUAAAAAAUCGGAUUCAAACGGAGAUGAAGAACAGGUGCUCCACGCAACGAUUUAAUUUCAUAAAGUGCUCUGCGAGCCAAAAUGGCUGAGAACCCCUGAGUUAUAAGAUAAUGAAUGCAUGCAGUGUUAAAAGUACAAUUAUUAAAGAGUGUUACUUUGUAUUAAUACGGAUAGUUGUGAAAUUGUGUUAAAAUAAUAUGCUUAAAUGUUAAUAGUCAUGCAAAUUUGAAAAUAUUAUAUAUAGCACAAAAAGUUAGUUGAAGAACAACGAAGCAUUGUUAAUAAGCUUAAAUCUACAAGAAAAAGGUCCACAAAGCAGGCCUUUUUCUGUAUCUUCGAUCUUUUCAUCAGGCAAGUGGACGUUCGAAAGCCAAAAAAAGUUCGAGUGAGUGGAAGUGCCGGUUGCAGCCGAAUCGCCAACGCUGUUGGUCCCCGAAAGGUCCUCACUGCCUGCCCGCUGAUCCGUUCCUCGUCAAGAAUCACCAUUUUGGAAAACUGGUACGUCGCCGGAUAGUUUUGGUCCAGUGAACCCUUGCUGUCGAUACCGGAAGCCCACCAGCGCCAUCUACUGGUUGUCGUCCCCACCAAGACAUUGCCGAAUCCAAGUCAACGAGGUCGGCCUACCAUCAACUUUGGCCGUGUAGGCUGGCGUGCCCCGAUAGCGCCCCGACCAGCAUCAGAAGCAACCUUCACCGCCGAGGACCCACCGUAGAAGCCACCAAUAUUCGAUAUACCCAGACACGCAAGUACCCUUGACGUCACAAUAAAUUGUAAUGUAGAUUGAA